rnacentral:tRNA from 1 species
GGAAAGAUGGCCGAGUGGCUUAAGGCGCACGCCUGGAAAGCGUGUGGGUGGAAACGCCUCCGGGGUUCGAAUCCCCGUCUUUCCG